rnacentral:rRNA from 1 species
UACGGGGGGAGCAAGCGUUGUUCGGAUUUACUGGGCGUAAAGGGCGCGUAGGCGGCGUGACAAGUCACUUGUGAAAUCUCCAGGCUUAACUCGGAACGGUCAAGUGAUACUGUCGUGCUAGAGUACAGAAGGGGCAACUGGAAUUCUCGGUGUAGCGGUGAAAUGCGUAGAUAUCGAGAGGAACACCUGCGGCGAAGGCGGGUUGCUGGGCUGAUACUGACGCUGAUGCGCGAAAGCUAGGGGAGCAAACGGG